AUGGAGCACUCCUCAGCAGAAAACAUCUUCAAGGAAGCAACAUCUCUCCACUCUCCUGAUUGUUGUCUCACACGUCUUGAAGCAGUUGUGACCCUUGGCAUGGGUAAAAUAGUCCUGUCCCACACUGCUCAAGAACUUGGGUUAUAUUCGUCCAAAAAUAUUUCACUGAAAGACAGUUCACUUUUUUCAGAUCAGGUCUCCAGCUCCAUUGGGCACAUCAGCAUUUCCCUCCACCUCUGGAAACAGACUGGCAGAAUGAAAUUGGGUGUUCUGCUGUCCAAGAUAAUGUUUUGUUUUGCUCUGGUGUAUGGACAGUUGUGGGAGCUGCUGGUGGAACCCCGUGCUAGAAUUCAAGGAAUGAAAAAGCACAAAAUGAGCAUCAACACUGAAGGCUCAAUAAGCUCAGUGAACAUGGGAGAGAAUAACACUGAAGCCACUGAGGAUAACCACUCAUGGCCUCUGACAGGAUGGGGAGAAGAAAAGGACUGGACCCUUGCUCUGAUGCAAUUUCCAUCAGUACAGGUUUCUGAGAUGGAAAGCAAGUGAAUGAAGAGAUUCAAAAAUUGUCUGUAAGUGUUUGUGAAUUCACCUUAUGGUAGACUGCCAACCUGCUCUGCAAUCACAGAGACCCAAAUUGCAGCCAGGGGCAGGGAGUAAAGGAAAUGAGAAAAGGGGGACUGGCUGUGUGAGUCAGAGCAUCUCCUGAUGCACUGCACUGCCGGGGCUCUCCCGCAGCAGCCCUGGGGUGGCAGCUCCUGUGCCAGGGUCCCUGUAGCCUUCUGCGGCGGCUGAGCCCAGGCUUCUCUCUGCAUGCCAUGUGGGGCAGAGCAGGGCAGCUGCCCCGUGUGCCAGCACGUGCUGCCUCACCAGGCCUUCCCCUGCGCUCGGAGUCAGACACAAAGGCACGGAGCACCUGCUCUACUCCCAGGGCCCUGGGGUCCCUGUCACCCCAGGCACGGAGGUGCUGGUGGUCCUGCGUGCCUGCCCUGCGAGCAGCACCUCUGCUCUGCCCUGCCCUGUGAGCAGCACCUCUGCCCUGCUCUGCCCUGCCCUGUGAGCAGCACCUCUGCCCUGCCCUGCCCUGCCCUGUGAGCAGCACCUCUGCCCUGCUCUGCCCUGCCCUGUGAGCAGCACCUCUGCCCUGCCCUGCCCUGUGAGCAGCACCUCUGCUGGUGCUGGGCUGAGGGCUGCUGAGCAAACCUGCCCACCCCUGGCUGCGAGGGUGCACGUCCUUCCCAAACCCACAGGGCACUGGACAGAUAACCCCUGCUAAAUAAACAGGUGUUUAUACUCUCUGUAUUAAAGGGA
rnacentral:lncRNA from 1 species